rnacentral:rRNA from 1 species
CAGUAGCCACGGUAAUACGAAGGGGGCUAGCGUUGCUCGGAAUUACUGGGCGUAAAGGGAGCGUAGGCGGACAUUUAAGUCAGGGGUGAAAUCCCAGAGCUCAACUCUGGAACUGCCUUUGAUACUGGGUGUCUUGAGUGUGAUAGAGGUAUGUGGAACUCCGAGUGUAGAGGUGAAAUUCGUAGAUAUUCGGAAGAACACCAGUGGCGAAGGCGACAUACUGGAUCAUUACUGACGCUGAGGCUCGAAAGCGUGGGGAGCAAACAGGAUUAGAUACCCGGGUAGUCCCUGUCUCUUAUAC